rnacentral:lncRNA from 1 species
GCUCUCCAUAGCAUACGUUAUACAAAAUUAAAGUUUUGCUUCCAAAAAUAUGUUUCCAUGUGGUCGUGGUGUUGUCCAGUGCUAUUAGGGCCAAAGCACCAAAGACAUGAGAAGUUUAACCACUGACUUGUCAUUUUUCAUAAAAACUAAACAUUUCCUUAUAGGUCUGGAGUAAAAUCUUCUAGGCAUUUUAGUGCUAAAAGUCAUUUUAAAUUAAAUGUGAAAUAAAAGCUACAAAAAGUAUGAGUUCUUUCAAUACAAAAAGUUGUGUAGCUGAAGUUGUGGACUCCUUUGACAUACAGAAGCAUUUCAAUAAAAUAUUUGCUCAGGUAAGAAAAUAGAAAUUUGUCUGCUUUCAUUUAGCAUACGUUCCAGUCGAUGUCCUGCUUAUCCCUGCCAGCUUCUGAAGAACAUUAGAAUCGAUAUUUCUUUCCUUCAAAGAGCAUCCGUAAUUCACAGUACAAAACAGUUCUAAAGUCUUAUUCCUAAGGAGAAACAAAAAUUAUUAAAUAUGUUUAUUUUUUCUAGUGUCAAAUGUAGCCAUUGCCAGGGCAUUACAAACGCACUUAUCCACAACACUGCCGGGUUGAGGAAAGAACCAAGAGUUGAUUCAUUCCCCUUUUCUGUGGCUGUUACUAAUUGGUUGUUGCUUUAAGUGUUAUAACCCUAAGAAAAUUCCCAAUAAAAAUCACUGUUCUUAAGUGUCACAUAUUUCACACCUCUGGUAUUCUGUAGAAACGCUUGCAUUACAUGGGAAAGCGGCAUCUGAAGAGAUCUAUUGCCUAUUCUAGUUCAUUUCCAAGCCUUUUAUUGAAAACCUCUUCUCUAGAGGUUUUCAAUGUGCUACUACUGAUGUGGAUUUUGUAGGAGCUCUUCCUUCAAGCUGAGAUCUCUUAGAGCAGUUUGCUUAUAACAGUCACUGCUAUACUUCAGUGUGACCGACCAUACAUCACUUGCCAUUCUGGGACAGAGGAAGGAGACGGGUGGGGGAGUUGAAAAAUGAUCUGGCUAGCCCAGAGCUGGACAGUGCCAUUCUAUUCUUCCCUCCCACUUGUCUACACAGUGGUCAUUACUACUCGCUCUGUUGCCCAGGCUGGAGUGCAGUGGUGCCAUCUCGGCUGACUGCAACCUCUGCCUCCCAGAUUCAAGCAAUUCUCCUGCCUCAGGCUCCCAAGUAGCAGGGAUUACAGGCACCUGCUCAGCACGCCCAGCUAAUUUUCUGUAUUUGUGGAAGAGACAGGGUGUCACCAUGUUGGCCAGGCUGGUCUCGAACUCCUGACUUCAGGUGAUCCACCCACCUCGCCUCCCAAAGUGCUGGAAUUACUGGCAUGAGCCACUGCCCCCGGCCUACCUUCUAUUUUCACUACUGUGUUAAGCACGAAAGAAAAUCCAAAUCGGUUAGAUAGAGCAGGUUCUCCUAAAUGUCUUAACCCAUGUUUAUCUUGUUCUAUUCCAUGAGCGAAGAGAACACAAAGCUGUGAAAGUAUUAAAUAUCGACACUAGAUUUACAUUUCCAACAAGAAAUUCAUCUCCCUCCACAGUCCCAGACCAGGGCUAGAAUGUGGUUCAUUUUUAACAAUCAAAGUGGCAAGAUCUGUUUGGUGAUCACUCUAAAAACAGGGAACGUAGCUAAUGCCCUUUCAUAUUGAGGUGCUACAAAGAUCCAAGCUAUUAAAGACUAUGGCCUCAACAUCCAUGUGUGAAACACCUAUACUAGAAAAUCCUUUAAGUCUUGUUGCCUUAACUUAGAGAUCUCCAGGCAACAGGCCUGAGGAUAGCCAUGGCUGUGGACCACUCAACUAUGAUUCUAUUCCAACUGUUAAGAAUCAUAUCACAAAAUGACUUGUACAGAGUAGUUUAUAAUGACUCCCGAGAGAGGGAAAAAAAAAAAAA